UACGAAGGGGGCUAGCGUUGCUCGGAAUGACUGGGCGUAAAGGGCGCGUAGGCGGUUCGUACAGUUGGAUGUGAAAUUCCCGGGCUCAACCUGGGGGCUGCAUUCAAUACGUGCGGGCUUGAGUUCGGAAGAGGGUCGUGGAAUUCCCAGUGUAGAGGUGAAAUUCGUAGAUAUCGGGAGGAACACCCAUGGCGAAGGCAGCAAGCUGGGCGACACCUGACGCUGAGGCGCGAAAGCGUGGGUAGCAAACAGG
rnacentral:rRNA from 1 species